UACCACUUCGGCCAACUUGGCAAAGAAAGCCUCUGGAGCACCGCAGCACAGUUACAAGACCUGAGCAAAACCCUGUCCCUGCCAGACCAGCUCCAUAAGCUCCAGGAACAGCUUUACCAUCUGCGCUGGAGCACAAAGGAUGUUGCGGAGCAGGCUCUACAGGAAGGCGUGAAGCAGGCAAAGCUCCCAGGCUUUACCGGACGGGCUGUUCAGGAGAUCAUCAGUCAAGCCCUGGAGAAUCUGGUGGAAAUCCAGGUCCCGAUGCCGGAUUACGCCCUGAAAUCAGCAGGGGCUGCUGUCAUUCAUUCCAGGACUUCUCCAUCCCUCCGGAACGCCAAAGCCAAACUCUUCUUCUCUUCCCUGCCAUUGAUGGAUUACAUGAGGUCCCCUGAGCUUAUUCUGGAG